GCCGGGCGCAGUGGUACGUGCCUGUAGUCCCAGCUACUUGGGAGGCUGAGGUGGGAGGAUCGCUUGAGCCCAGGAGUUCUGGGCUGUAGUGCACUAUGUCGAUUGGGUGUCCGCACUAAGUUCGGCAUCAAUAUGGUGACCUCCUGGAAGCGGGGUACCACUAGGUUGCCUAAGGAGGGGUGAACCAGCCCAGGUCGGAAAUGGAGUAGGUCAAAACUCCUGUGCUAAUCAGUAGUGGAUCGCGCCUGUGAAUAACCGCUGCAGUCCAGCCUGGGCAACAUAGCGAGACCCUGUCUCUA
ensembl:misc_RNA Metazoa_SRP Metazoan signal recognition particle RNA